CGUCUCCUGUGGUGUGCGAUACGGGCUGGGUUACUCUUUGAGCCUAAAUCAAACCCACGGAACCGGCUUGGUGAUGACGGUGUGCAGGUCCGCCAUGCAGCGGAAAGCCUAAAGCAUCACGGUCGGCUCCACCUGAACCUUUGGUUCAAGGGCGAAAGCCGGUAACGGCACUAAUGGGAGACGC
rnacentral:other from 1 species